UGUGUAGAGGAGUGUACAUGGGUAAUAGGGGAGCAUAGAGGAGUGUACAUGGUAACAGAGAAGUGUAGAGGAGUGUACAUGGGUGUCAGAGGGGUGUAGAGGAGUGUACAUGGGUGACAGAGAAGCGCCGAGGAGUGUACAUGGGUAACAGAGGAGUGUACAUGGGUGACAGGGGGACGUAGGGGAUGAAAGAGGGGAGUACGGGGUGAUAGAGGGGUGUACGUAGGUGACAGAGGGGUGUUGGGGUGUAGAGAUGUGUACAUGGGUGGCAGAGUGGUUUAGAGGAGUGUAUAUUAGUGAUAGAUGGGUGUAUAUUUGUGAAAGGGGGCGUAGGGGGUGACAGAGUGGUGUACAUUGGUGACAGAGAGGUGUUGGGGGUGUAGAGGAGUCUACGUGGGUGGCAGAGGAGCGCAGAGUAGUAUACAUGGAUAACAGAAGGGUGUAGGGGUGUACAUUGGUGAUAGAAGGGUGUAGAGGAGUGUACAUGGGUGACGGAGGAGCUUAGAGGAGUGUACAUGGGUAACAGAUGGGUGUAGAGGGGUGUACAUGGGUGACAGAGCGGUGUAGAGGAGUGUACAUGGGUGACAGAGGGGUGUAGAGGAGUGUACAUGGGUGAUAGAGGGGUGUAGAGGAGUGUACAUGGGUGACAGAGGGGUGUAGAGGAGUGUACAUGGGUAACAGAGGAGUGAAGAGGAGUGUACAGAGGCCUACAUUACCAUUACUUGAUUAACUGUUGUAUAUUAUAUAAAACAUUUAGAUAAAAUAGAUUACAAAAAUAUACAUUAUAUUUUAAGUUCCUUUUUCCACUCCUUUUUCCAUAAUUCCUGAGUUAAGUAGUUCUGGCCCUAGAGUGUUAUAUAUAUUAGCGUCUGUAGCAUGUAUCAGGAACAUGUUAUCAUACCUGUGUCUUUUUUUACAGAUGACUGAUGCCCGACAUAUACCCCCGUCAGCUGCAAGAAAGGAACCACGAAACAGAGGACUGAUGCCCGGUGAAAAGGUGAACGUGUCAUAUACCCCCGUCAGCUGCAAGAAAGGAACCACGAAACAGAUGACUGAUGCCCGGUGAAAAGGUGAACGUGUCAUAUACCCCCGUCAGCUGCAAGAAAGGAACCACGAAACAGAGAACUGAUGCCCGGUGAAAAGGUGAACGUGACAUAUACCCCCGUCAGCUGCAAGAAAGGAACCACG